UACAGAGGGUGCAAGCGUUAAUCGGAAUUACUGGGCGUAAAGGGUGCGUAGGUGGUUAGGUAAGUUAAGUGUGAAAGCCCCCGGGCUCAACCUGGGAGGUGCGCUUGAUACUCGAGGGCUUGAGUGCGGGAGAGGAGAGUGGAAUUCCCAGUGUAGAGGUGAAAUUCGUAGAUAUUGGGAAGAACACCGGUGGCGAAGGCGGCUCUCUGGACCGUAACUGACGCUGAGGCGCGAAAGCGUGGGAGCAACAGG
rnacentral:rRNA from 1 species